GCAGACGGGUGAGUAAUGUAUAGGAAUCUACCUAGUAGUACGGAAUAAUUGUUGGAAACGACAACUAAUACCGUAUACGCCCUACGGGGGAAAAAUUUAUUGCUAUUAGAUGAGCCUAUAUUAGAUUAGCUAGUUGGUGGGGUAAUAGCCUACCAAGGUAAUGAUCUAUAGCUGAUCUGAGAGGAUGAUCAGCCACACUGGAACUGAGAUACGGUCCAGACUCCUACGGGAGGCAGCAGUGGGGAAUAUUGGACAAUGGGCGAAAGCCUGAUCCAGCCAUGCCGCAUGAGUGAAGAAGGCCUUUGGGUUGUAAAGCUCUUUUAGUGAGGAAGAUAAUGACGGUACUCACAGAAGAAGUCCUGGCUAACUCCGUGCCAGCAGCCGCGGUAAUACGGAGAGGGCUAGCGUUAUUCGGAAUUAUUGGGCGUAAAGGGCGCGUAGGCUGGUUAAUAAGUUAAAAGUGAAAUCCCGAGGCUUAACCUUGGAAUUGCUUUUAAAACUAUUAAUCUAGAGAUUGAAAGAGGAUAGGGGAAUUCCUGAUGUAGAGGUAAAAUUCGUAAAUAUUAGGAGGAACACCAGUGGCGAAGGCGUCUAUCUGGUUCAAAUCUGACGCUGAAGCGCGAAGGCGUGGGGAGCAAACAGGAUUAGAUACCCUGGUAGUCCACGCUGUAAACGAUGAAUGUUAAAUAUGGGGAGUUUACUUUCUGUAUUACAGCUAACGCGUUAAACAUUCCGCCUGGGGACUACGGUCGCAAGAUUAAAACUCAAAGGAAUUGACGGGGACCCGCACAAGCGGUGGAGCAUGUGGUUUAAUUCGAUGCAACGCGAAAAACGAGUCCACUUCUUGA
rnacentral:rRNA from 1 species